UCCCUGGUAGCUUAGCUGGUAAAGAAUCCGCCUGUAAUGCAGGAGACCCUGGUUCGAUUCCUGGGUUGGGAA
rnacentral:tRNA from 1 species